rnacentral:lncRNA from 1 species
GAAUUUCUGGCCUCACACUGCUUUUCUCCCUUAUGCAGGAAGCACUGGAGCCCCGCGGGCAUCUCCUGAAGGAGUCAGCAGGGCUAUUACAAGAUGUUGUUGGGGCAGCCAACUCUAAACUCAGCACUACAGAGUGGCAUUGAUGAAGCAAACAAGGCUGGCUUGUUUGUAUUUUGUGUUUCCUCAGAAAUGAGCUGGCAGUUUUGUAAUAACACGGAGGAACUGCACUUCAGUGCAUCACCCACAUAUCCCUGCCUGGCCCACCAAGCACCACCCAUGGUGUAACAGACUUACCCCCGCUAUCCCACACCCCCACCUCAGACAGGAUGCCAAGUCAGCUUCCCAGAAAGCUGUGGAUCCUAGAAUGUGAGACUGAAGGUGAGGGCAGACCAGAAUGGGGCAGCUGAGGGCCUCUGUACCUGAGUCUCUGAAGAUGUGCCCUUCAAGUAGCGUGGAACAUGGAAGAUGCCGUCAUGAGGGCAGAUGCUUGGCUGCACCCAGUUGGCUCCUGGUACACAAUCAACACCUACCUCCUAGGUCUAGAUGGCCUAGGAUCUGAGACAUUUGUCCACAUUGGGAUCAUGAAAGGCCUGGCCGAAGUCAUGAUGCUGGGUAAAUAGGAGAGAUACUCACAGAAGUCCUUGCAUCUUUUUCCCUGUGGCCAGUGGCCAGACCCACUGCCCAUUGGCCCUCCUGCACCUCUUGCUGCUUGCUCCAGUGAAACCUAUCCUUUCUGCCUCUGGGUAAUGCAGGAGAAGCAAAGACCAGAGUCACCCUUGCAUUAUGGCAAUCAAAACAAUGGCUAAUAUUUAUCAAGUGCCUGUACAGG